ensembl:snoRNA
UUGGCCGAUGAUGAGAUUUCUGGGGUAUCUGAAUCAAUGAUUUUGAUUAACCCUUUAACUCUGAGGUCCAU